CCUACGGGAGGCAGCAGUAGGGAAUAUUGCUCAAUGGGGGAAACCCUGAAGCAGCAACGCCGCGUGGAGGAUGAAGGUUUUCGGAUUGUAAACUCCUUUUGUUAGAGAAGAUAAUGACGGUAUCUAACGAAUAAGCACCGGCUAACUCCGUGCCAGCAGCCGCGGUAAUACGGAGGGUGCAAGCGUUACUCGGAAUCACUGGGCGUAAAGAGCGCGUAGGCGGGAUAGCAAGUCAGAGGUGAAAUCCUAUGGCUUAACCAUAGAACUGCAUUUGAAACUGUUAUUCUAGAGUAUGGGAGAGGUAGGUGGAAUGCUUGGUGUAGGGGUAAAAUGCGUAGAGAUCAAGAGGAAUACUCAUUGCGAAGGCGACCUGCUAGAACAUAACUGACGCUGAUGCGCGAAAGCGUGGGGAGCAAACAGGAUUAGAUACCCGAGUAGUC
rnacentral:rRNA from 1 species